rnacentral:rRNA from 1 species
GACAGCCCCGUACACAAAAGCGCAUAUGCUGUGAGCUCGAUGAGUAGGGCGGGACACGUGGUAUCCUGUCUGAAUAUGGGGGGACCAUCCUCCAAGGCUAAAUACUCCUGACUGACCGAUAGUGAACCAGUACCGUGAGGGAAAGGCGAAAAGAACCCCGGCGAGGGGAGUGAAAAAGAACCUGAAACCGUGUACGUACAAGCAGUGGGAGCACAGGUUUACCUGUGUGACUGCGUACCUUUUGUAUAAUGGGUCAGCGACUUAUAUUCUGUAGCAAGGUUAACCGUAUAGGGGAGCCGUAGGGAAACCGAGUCUUAACCGGGCGUUAAGUUGCAGGGUAUAGACCCGAAACCCGGUGAUCUAGCCAUGGGCAGGUUGAAGGUUGGGUAACACUAACUGGAGGACCGAACCGACUAAUGUUGAAAAAUUAGCGGAUGACCUGUGGCUGGGGGUGAAAGGCCAAUCAAACCGGGAGAUAGCUGGUUCUCCCCGAAAGCUAUUUAGGUAGCGCCUCGUGAAUUCAUCUCCGGGGGUAGAGCACUGUUUCGGCUAGGGGGCCAUCCCGGCUUACCAACCCGAUGCAAACUGCGAAUACCGGAGAAUGUUAUCACGGGAGACACACGGCGGGUGCUAACGUCCGUCGUGAAGAGGGAAACAACCCAGACCGCCAGCUAAGGUCCCAAAGUCAUGGUUAAGUGGGAAACGAUGUGGGAAGGCCCAGACAGCCAGGAUGUUGGCUUAGAAGCAGCCAUCAUUUAAAGAAAGCGUAAUAGCUCACUGGUCGAGUCGGCCUGCGCGGAAGAUGUAACGGGGCUAAACCAUG